rnacentral:rRNA from 1 species
GGCGUGUCUUAUACAUGCAAGUCGAGCGGUGUAGCAAUGCAUAGCGGCGAACGGGUGAGUAACGCGUAAGCAAUCUGCCCCAUGCCCGGGAAUAGCCGUGCCAACGCGCGGGUAAUACCGGAUAUAGUGGCUCCCUGCAUAGGGAGUUGACGAAAGAUUUAUCGGCAUGGGAUGAGCUUGCGUCCGAUUAGCUAGUUGGCGGGGCAACGGCCCACCAAGGCGACGAUCGGUAGCCGGCCUGAGAGGGUGAUCGGCCACAUUGGGACUGAGAUACGGCCCAGACUCCUACGGGAGGCAGCAGUAGGGAAUAUUGCACAAUGGGGGAAACCCUGAUGCAGCAACGCCACGUGUGGGAAGAAGCAUUUCGGUGUGUAAACCACUGUCGUGAGGGAAUAAGGCUAUUUUUCGGAGUAGUUGAAUGUACCUCGAGAGGAAGCACCGGCAAACUUCGUGCCAGCAGCCGCGGUAAUACGAGGGGUGCAAGCGUUGUUCGGAAUCACUGGGCGUAAAGGGAGCGCAGGCGGAAGCUCAAGCGGAUUGUACAAUACCGGGGCCCAACCCCGGACCUGCAGUCCGAACUGGGUUUCUUGGAUAGUUCAGGGGCAAGCGGAAUUCCUGGUGUAGCGGUGGAAUGCGUAGAGAUCAGGAAGAACACCGAUGGCGAAGGCAGCUUGCUGGGGACUAAUCGACGCUCAUGCUCGAAAGUGCGGGUAGCAAACAGGAUUAGAUACCCUGGUAGUCCGCACCGUAAACGAUGCAUACUGGGUGUCCGCGGUUCGCCGCGGGUACCGUAGCCAACGCGUUAAGUAUGCCGCCUGGGGAGUACGUACGCAAGGUAUGAAACUCAAAGGAAUUGACGGGGGCCCGCACAAGCGGUUGGAGCAUGUGGUUUAAUUCGAAGCAACGCGCAGAACCUUACCAGGGUUUGACAUGGGAACGCCGCGGCGAGAGAUCGCCGUUUGUAGCAAUACACGUUCCGCACAGGUGCUGCAUGGCUGUCGUCAGCUCGUGUCGUGAGAAUGUUGGGUUAAGUCCCGCAACGAGCGCAACCCACGUUUCCAGUUGCCACCCGCGAGGGGGCCCUCUGGAGAGACUGCCGGGGACAACCCGGAGGAAGGUGUGGAUGACGUCAAGUCCUCAUGGCCCUUACAUCCUGGGCUACACACGUGCUACAAUGGGCGGUACGAUGGGUCGCAACGCCGCGAGGCG